AGCAAAAUUAUGUAUGACAAAAUAUUUAAAAUUAUUAUAUAAUGUGCGAAAAAUUGAUCGACAUCCUGUUAGUUUGCCUGAUUGAAGUAAUGUUGUAGAGACAGCGAGAGUUCAACGAAACUUGAAGAUAAUUUUAUCCUACAAAAUGUUCUUUAUUUGCCCGGCUUAAUAUGCAACUUGAUUUAUGUAUCUCAAUUAAUUGAUUACUCAGAUUGUUUGAUCAUUUUCACUAAACUCUUAUGUAUUAUACAGGACCACACCUCAAGGAUGCUGAUUGGAGCUGGUGAGAGGAAAGAUGGACUCUACUAUUUUUGGAACAAACAGAAGGAACACCCCAAUAGAAUGGAAGAGUGGAAAAAAAGCAUCAUCAUAUCUUGAAUGUAGCCCGGGCCUUGCACUUUCAAGACACCUUAUGAAUUAUUAUAUGGUCGAUUGCCUGGGUGUGGAUAUCUUCAAAUAUUUGGAUCCCUAUGUUAGCUCGAACCUUAGGGAAGAAGGGUGAUAAGUUUUUGAGUAGAUGAUUUAGGUGUGGGUCUUCGUGGGAUAUCCCGAUGGAAAGAAAUGGUGGAGGUAUAUGAUUUAGAGAACAAAGAAUAUCUUGUUUCACAAGACGUUGAUUUCUAUGAAACUGAACUCCCUUUCACUUCAUCAACACAUAACACUAGAAGGGACAAAAAAUAAAGAAAUGUUUGUGGAGGAACUAUGAGAGGAAUGAGGAGUUUGAAGGAAGGGAGAAGUGAAGGAGGAUCAUCACGAAGUCGAGAUAAACGAAACUUUUCACUUGGAGGUAGGGGCCAUAACUGUGGAAGAUGAAAUAAUAAAGGAGGAGCAGUUGGGAUGCGGACACCACCAAAAAUAUACAACGGUCCGAUUGCGUAAUUAUGUUACUAAUGUUGUCUAGAAAUUAAGUUUAUCUUGUCCUCCAUCUACUUCAGAGCAUCACUUAGGUAUGUCUUAUCCUUUAACACAAUAUGUGAAUUGCGAUAAAUUCUUUGUACAAGAAUGUUCUUUCUUUGCAGCAAUCACUGCAGCACAUGAACCGCCUAUUUCUCUGAGGCCAUGAAAGAUGGCAAGUGGAGAGAAGUAAUUAGAUUAGAAAUACAGGCGCUGGAGAAUAACGAAACAUGGGUAAUAGAGGAUCUGCCUCCUAACAAAAAGUCUCUCAGUUAUAGGUGGAUUUACAAGAUAAAGUACAACUCUGAUGGAACACUUGAGCGAAACAAGACCCGACUAGUUAUUCUCGGGAAUCAUCAAGUAGGGGAGAUCAACUAUAAUGAAACAUUUUCCAUAGUGGCAAAGAUAGUGACAGUCUGUACAUUUUUGCUAUAGCAAAGGCAAAGAAUUGGGAGUUACAUCAAAUGGAUUUACAUAAUUCCUUCCUGCAUGGGGAUCUUCAGGAGAAUGUGUAUAUAAAAAUUGCCUCCUGGGUUUUGAGUUGCAAGUCCAGAAAAAGUGUGCAGACUUCAGAAGUUCCUUUAUGGGUUAAAGCAAGCGCCGAGGUGUUAAUUUACUAAGUUGUAGGCUGCCUUAGAGGACUAUGGGUUCAAGUUUUCAUAUUCUAAUUCCUCUCUUUUUACUCUUCAAAAAGGUGAAGUUUGAGUAAAUGUCCUUGUGUAUGUCAAUGAUCUAAUUAUCUUUGGCAAUGAGCCUAAGGCUAUUUGUGAGUUCAAAACAUAUUAUGGAAAAUGCUUUCACAUGAAGGAUUUGGGCAAAUUAAAAUAUUUUCUGGGAGUGGAAGUCUCCAAACAUUCGGAAGGCAUCUUCUUGAGCCAACAAAAAUAUUCCUUGUCAUAGGUUAGGUUAUUAGGUGCUAAGCCUGUGGGAAUGCUGUUGGAACAAAAUCAUCGGCUUGCAUUGGCAGGUAGACAGGCGUUUGAUGACCCCGAGCGCAAUUAUCAUUUGAUAGUCUGACUUAUUUAUCUGUGCUUUACUUGGUCGGAAUUAUCCUAUAAUAUUUAUAUUUUAUCUUAGUUCAUGCACCAACCAUAAGAGGAGCAUUGGCAUGCAACAUUAGGGGUUGUUCGCUACUUGAAAGGGCAUCCGGGACAAGGUACUUUAUUGAGAAGCAAAUAUGAUCUACGUCUCUAUGGAUGGUAUAACUCCGAUUAGGCUGGUUAUCCCUUGACUCGACGCUCUCUUACAGGUUGGUUUAUCUCGUUGGGUGACUCACACAUAUCUUGGAAGACUAAGAAACAAUAUACCGUCUCUCGAUCAUCUGUGGAGGCUGAAUCUCAUUCUAUGACAAUAAUAAUAUGUGAGGUGAAAUGGUUGAAGGAAAUUUUAUUUAGUUUGGGAGUGACUUGCACUUUUCCUUUUUUUUUUAAAAUUAAUUAUCCACCUCCAUCGAGUAUGGAUAAGGUUUUAUAAAUAUGAAAGCAUUGUAAAAGUGGGAUAUUGCAUAACAGAUAUCUUAUGUUUAAUAGAAAGG